AAAUAGGGGGAAGGCGUCAUAUUUUGGUCGUUAAUUUCUCUUGCCACAAUCUAUUAGUUUGGAAUUUCUAUAUCUGAUUAUAUGUAAUAAUGUCUUAUCUUUGGAUAAAGGCUGGUUUUGUGGAGAUACAAACGGUUUUGGCCGUCAUAACGAGUGUUUAAAACGUCGAUAGGGCCUCUUUUAGCGUCGAGCGUUCCGAUAUUUGGCGUCAGAUCUCACUGAGCCGCUAAAGCCUCCGCGAGCGUCGAGCGCGCCGCGAUGGUUAGUUAGUCGUGAGGCAGUAACGUUACCGGAUUGAUGCUGUGAAGUGACGACAUCAAACCAUUUAUUUAUUUUUUUUUUUAAAAUAAAACAUGUAUUAUUUUAUAAUUCCUCAUGGCUGUAUUUUGUUUAAGAGACUCGGGACCUCUGAAUAAAUACUAAAUAUUGCUUUGACUUGUUAGUGACCCUCACAAACUGCUUCUGUUGUAUAUUCAGUGUAUCAUUUUCAAAUAUAAAUUAUGUUAAUAAAACAUACAAAUUUUGA